GGUGAACGCUGGCGGCGUGCUUAACACAUGCAAGUCGAACGAAGCACCUUAUUCUGAUUUCUUCGGAAUGAAAAAUUUGGUGACUGAGUGGCGGACGGGUGAGUAACGCGUGGGUAACCUGCCUCAUACAGGGGGAUAACAGUUAGAAAUGACUGCUAAUACCGCAUAAGACCACAGUACCGCAUGGUAGAGGGGUAAAAACUCCGGUGGUAUGAGAUGGACCCGCGUCUGAUUAGGUAGUUGGUGGGGUAACGGCCUACCAAGCCGACGAUCAGUAGCCGACCUGAGAGGGUGACCGGCCACAUUGGGACUGAGACACGGCCCAAACUCCUACGGGAGGCAGCAGUGGGUAAUAUUGCACAAUGGGGGAAACCCUGAUGCAGCGACGCCGCGUGAGCGAUGAAGUAUUUCGGUAUGUAAAGCUCUAUCAGCAGGGAAGAAAAUGACGGUACCUGACUAAGAAGCACCGGCUAAAUACGUGCCAGCAGCCGCGGUAA
rnacentral:rRNA from 1 species